CAAGCAGUUUGCAUCAUGAGGUUUGCAGGCAAAUGGAUGGAUCUAGAAAAACUCAUCCUGAGUGAGGUAAUCCAGACUCAGAAAGACAAACAUGAUCAGCAGUCCUCCUGCAGCAGAUGGGAACAAAUACAUAGACCCACAGUCUAACACUAUGAAGAGAGUGAGAGGCAUUGAAACACUCAACCCAAAAAAGGUGUGUCUCCAUCAAAUUCCUCCCCUUGGGAUUAUGAGAAGAACACUGUGGAAGAGGAGCCAGAAAGAGUGUAAUAGCCAGAGGGCAUGAAGACACCAAGAAAAUAAGGCUCUCUAAAUCAACAUGGUCAAAGUUCAUAUGAGUUCACAUAAACUGAGGCAGCAUGCACAGGGUUGACAUGGGCUGCACCAGAUCCUUUGCAUGUAUAUUAUGGCUUUCAGUUUAGAGUUUUUAUUGGAUUCCUGAGUAUGUGAA